UGUAUAUGAUCUGUCAAUCCUGAGAGGGACGCUCUCUCUCCUCCCCUUCCCCCCAUCUCUCUUUGCAUGUGCUGGGGCGAAGUUUCCCCUAGAUACAGAUCUAGGAUCAGCUUCCCCUCCCCAAACCCAACAAGGACCACUAGCGGGGGGAAUUCAAACCUGAUCCAAAGGCAGGGUCUAUUUGGGGAACUUGUCCCAUCCCCCACAACUCUACAUGUGGAUGCGGCUUUCUCCAGCUCACCAUGCUCACAAAGAAAACAGCAGUGCAUUUCAGCUGACUGGCAGAGACAGUGCGGUGCUAGAAGGGAAGGUUUGAUUGGCAGAGACAGUGCGGUGCUAGAAGGGAAGGUUUGAUUGGGAGAGACAGUUGUUGCUGCCAUAGCUCCCGCUCUCCUCGGUCCGAGAAAACACGGAGAGAGAAAAAUCAACAUAAAAGCCUAAAAGACAGCCGUGGUGUCGCUCUUCAUUUCUUGGUUCUCCUGUGGUACAUAAGAAACCCGCUACAAGAACAUGGAUAAAAGCAGGAAUCUCUCGUGCCAAGCCUGGGAAAGAACUGAAAAAACGCACUAAAGAGUCAAGACAGACACCAGAAAGAGACCCAAGAAGACUUGGACGCAGGAUCAGAGGACAGCGAGAGAUGUUCAGAACUCACUCAGUCCGGUUUGGAGAAUGACUUCUCAACCCAAGAGGCCUAAGAGCAGCUGUGAGAGAGCAUCAGUUUGGAAGCAUUUGGGAAAAUGUAGUGCUAAAGAAGGUUCCCGGCAAAGAGGGUUGCCUGUUAUGGGUCAGAGCCAGCUCUCAAAAAAAGAACUUGUAAAGACAUAAAAACCUAGUGCUCAACAAAAUGCAAACAUACAAGGCUCUCCGCAGCCAGUAAAAGGCUAGCAUGCCACGAAGCUGAAGUUCACACAGGUGAAUGGGAGUGUUGUAAAAGACAAAAAGCUUUUUAGACAUAGCUCUAAAAUGCAGGUCCUAGUUGAGCUUGUGAGCUAGUUCUGUUCUUUUUUGUGUUUUUUUGUUUUGUGGUGGAAAACUUAGUGUGUCGAGCAAAUGAGAAAAUGAGAACUUGUUCUCAACUAGCCUACCUGGUUAAAUAAAGGUGAAAUAAAAUAAAAAUAACACGUCAACCCUGUUACCAAUAGAUAAAAAGACUACACAAUUCUUAGCAAUUUUAUUUUUGUCUGAAACUUCCAAUUCAAUGCUAGCUGUGGGAUGGAUCCUGGUUCAAGUCCAGGCUCUGUCGCAGCCUGCUGCGACCUGGAGACCCAUGGAUUGGUGCACAAUUGUCCCAGCGUCAUCCUGGUUAGGGGAGGGUUUUUAUUUAUUUUCGUUUUUUAUUUUUGUUUUUAUUAAUUUGAAUAUGGUCUUUAUAACAGAAGGUAAAAUUAGGUGAACUUUUAGUUAUGAAUAUGAACUGGCAAUAUUCUAGUGGCCAUUCUUCGUUGCAAUAGGCCCAUGAAAUAAUAUCAGCUUUUAUGAUGCUGGUAAAGAUAGUACCUUUACCUAGCUGCGCAGUGUAGCCUAUAGGUUAUACACUGAGUGUACAAAAUAAUAAGGACACCUUCCUAAUAUUUAGUUAGCCCAUCCACCCCCUUUUGUCCUCAGAACAGCCUCAAUUUAUCAGGGCAUGGAUUCUACAAGGUGUUGAAAGUGUUCCACAGGGAUGCAGGCCCAUGUUGAUGCCAAUGCUUCCCACAGUUGUCAAGUUGGCUGGAUGUCCUUUGGUUGGUGGAACAUGAGCGUGAAAAACCCAUCAGUGUUGCAGUUCUUGACACAAACCGAUGUGCCUGGCACCUACUACCAUACUCCGUUCAAAGGCACUUAAAUCUUUUGUCUUGCCCGUUCACCCUCUGAAUGGCACACACACUAUCCAUGUCUCCAGGCUUAAAAAUCAUUCUUUAACCUGCCCUGUCCCCUUCAUCUACAAGUGACAUCAAUAAGGGAUCAUAGCUUUCACUUGGAUUCACCUGGUCAGUCUGUCAUGGAAAUAGCAGGUGUCCUUUAAUGUUUUGUACACUUAGUGUAAAUUUCACAAUAAUUAUACAUUUAUGGAUUUUGUUAUGUAGCCUAUUGUUGUCACUUUAUUGAACCUGUCUGCAACCCACCCGCCUGGGGACUGCGGGUUAUGAGACAAUCCUUGCAUGUUCUGCAGCCUUGUAAAGAUAGGGAGAGGAUGACUGGGAUGCAGUUUGGCAUUUAUUGUCAUGAAUCUUGCCCUGGCGGCAGUUCUGCAAAGUGGUCACAAGCUGGCACAGGCAUAAAGUAAUAAUAUCUGAUUUGAAACCUAACCUUAACCACACUGCUAAUCCUUACCUUAAAUUAAGACCAUAAAACACAAUUAUUUUCCACAAAUAUUUACAAUAUAGACAGUUUUGACUUAGCAGCUGCCAUAUCUUGAGGAAAUUGCGCAGUUCUGCCUGCAGGGCAAUAUUCAUGACAAACUUCAAGCUGCGACUGGGAGAGGGAAUGUAAAACCGAUAACGAAAUUGUUUUGACAAUUAACAUACAUUUUAUUAUGAAAAGUACAAUAUAUCCAUGUACACAUCAGAUAGCUGCUCUUUCUCUGCUACCUCAUUCAAUUUCUCUAAUUCUCCAGUUUAGUAUUCCCUGGUUAUGUUCUAAUUCUCUCUCUAUUUCCUCACCUCUUCCUCAGACUCUUCUUUUCCUCUUUCUUGUCUUUACUUUCUCCAUCAUUUUCCAUCUGUUGCAUCUUACUGGCCUUCUCUUGCUUCACAAGUUUUUUGGCUUUGCCCUUUUUCUUAUUGACCUUCCCUUCCUGAAUAUUUUGGACAAGGAGAUAAAGUUUGUAAGCUUAUGGGUUUUCUCUUGAGCUACUAUAUCUAGAGCUAUACUAUACCGUAGAAGGACAUAUUCCCUUCUUGUAUUUCCUCUCACCUGUGUAGGCCACUCCUGCCAUUUCCUGGAGCUGCUUCCUGCCGGUCUUGCUCAGGUUGGUGAUAGGGGCCAAGCGAGGCAUGUGGCGGUAUGGGAAGUUCUAUAGUGCUGAGGUCACAAGAGGAGAGUGGCCAGACACAGGACCAGAGACCUUCCCUGGGCUUUGUAGGACCAGAAAGUAAAGUCAAAAAAUCAGGAAAAUGCUAUGUUAAAAACAAUCUGUAGAUAUACUUUAUAACUAAACUAUACACAUUGCAGAUACCUGACUACACUCAAUAAGUAGGAGUAACUUACAAAGCUCUGGACAUUGUUAUGUUUUUCAGACUUGAGCCUGUUCUCGGCUAUACUGGUCUGCAUUUCUUCCAUGCUGUCUAUAAUUUCAGCCAUCUCCAGUGCAUUUCUUGAAUGCCACUUUCAACCUCCCAAGUCAAUUAGCCAACUGUCCAGGUCUACUGCCUUAAGAUCACCUUCGCUGCAGGUUCUCUUCAUCACUUGGAUCAGUGCCCUCACCUCCUUGCCCAUCCUCUUGACCUCCCUAGCCACGUCUUCAUCCGUCAGUCUCUCCUUCCUCCUCCCUAUCCACUUCGCAAUUCAUCUUCUACAGCAUCCCUCAUUCUUCUUCUGCCUCUCUUGGUUGAUGUCCUGAUUGUCAUUGUGCGUCUCCAGGCCUUCCUCCAGGUUGAGUUCUAUUGAGGUCAGGUUCUAUUUGAUCCUCCACAGGCUCUCCUCGUUGGUGUUGGUCCACUGUGUCUUCUUGUCCAGCUGCUGCCUGCAGGGCCGGACAGUGGGGACCACCUCCAUCUGGCGUGACACCUUCUUCAGGGCACUCACAGAGGCAGGGAGGAGGAUGUUGGGCUUGGCCACAAUAAUCUCAACAGACAUAGGGUAAAACCAUUGAGAUGUGACACACACACACAAAUUUAAAAGAUGCCUACCAGUCGAUGGUCCUUCAGUGGUCCUUGUGGUUCCUUUGGAGGUUCUGGACUGUCCUCAGUAGAGGCAUCAUUGCCACCAUCAAGAUGUGUGUCAGAGAGCUAGCUGGUCAUAGUCCAUUCUCCACAUUCAGUGAAAGAGUUACUCAAAAAUGUGUGUGUGUGGGGGGGGGUAUAGACAGGUCAUCAUCCUCGUCCAUAUCCCUCACUUCAAACUUUGUCACCUUUCCAUCCUUAACUUUCAGCGGUGGUGUCCUCCUUUCAUGAUCCUGAUCAUCACACUGUGUAUCAGAGUCAACUAGUCAGAGACCAUUCUCCACAGUGAUGUCACUCAACAAAGACAUGGACGGUAGGGUACAACUCUUACCUCCGAUUCACAGCCAGUGAAGGUGUAGAUCGAAAAGUCAUCCGAACUGGAGGAUGAGAUCACGUCAUCAUUUUUUCUCUCUAUCAGCCGAGUCACCCUUCCAGACUGAGUAGACAGAGAAAGGCAUGUACUCAUGGCAGCCAUAGAAUACACUGGCAUUAACCCUCAAGGAAAUGUAGAAUACAUAGGCAAUCCAACAUGGUUGUACAAGUAGUGAGCAAUACAUGGGUAACUGAAAAUGCAAUAAAUGCAACUCCCAUAACAUUAGGCGUGGGGCUAAAGACCUUCCAUUGUAUAGGAUUCUUUAGCAUCUCAAAUGGAUGAUUGUCAAUUCAACCAAGCCAACCAAAAUGGCCAUAUGAAUCAACAGUUUGAUUUACAGUAUCUGUUGUCUCUAUGGGAACAGCAGAGAUGUCUGACCUGGCUGAGAGGCUCUGGAUUGAUGUUCCAUCUGUCCCUAGAUGUCUGCUUCUGCCCACAGCUCACGAUGAUUGGCUGUAAACAGUAAAGAAUGAAUUCAACACUGCUUUGCUCAUUGCAGAAUGCAUAACUAAUGUGCAUGUGUUACUGAUUUCAGUUUGAAAUGACUUACAGGCUUUGUUCUUCUGUGCACCUUGCCGGAUGUCCACAUCACAGAAUCAGGGGUGUUAACCCUCAUUGGAUUCAUCCGUCAACACAUCACUCAAUUUAAAAGGUGAUAAUAUAACAAAAACAGGAUAAAACAAAUGUGCAUUUUAUAUUUACCAAAUAAGGGUGGCAUCUUAACGCUCUUUUGAUUCUCUCAUUAUUACGAUCCAUAGCUUUCUGAGGGAAAUAUUUCCAUCUAUUUGGAUAUGUAUAUAUACACAGCUCUGGAAAAAAUUAAGAGACCACUGCAAAAUGAUCAGUUUCUCUGGUUUUACUAUUUAUAUGUAUGUGUUUGGGUAAACUGAACAUUUUUGUUUUAUUCUAUAAACUGCUGACAACAUUUCUCCCAAAUUCCAAAUAAAAAAUAUUGUCAUUUAGAGCAUUUAUUUGCAGCUAAUGACAACAGGUCAAAAUAACAAAAAGAUGCAGUGUUGUCAGACCUCGAAUAAUACUAAUACUUUAACUUAGGAAGUGUUCUGAAAUCAAUAUUUGGUGGAAUAACACUGAUUUUCAAUCACAGCUUUCAUGCGUCUUGGCAUGCUCUCCACCAGUCUUUCACAUUGAUGUUGGGUGGCAUUUUGCCAUCCUGGCCUCAAAAUUCAAGCAGCUCGGCUUUGUUUGAUGGCUUGUGACCAUCCAUCUUCCUCUUGAUCACAUUCCAGAAGUGUAUAUGUGGUACCCUGUAAAUAUUAUACAGGUUGGGAAGGCUGUGCACCAAAAGGCCAAAGAUUACCUGCAACAACCUGAAUG